rnacentral:rRNA from 1 species
UACGGAGGGGGCGAGCGUUAUUCGGAAUUAUUGGGCGUAAAGGGCGCGUAGGCGGCUGUACAAGUCAAAGGUGAAAUCCCUCGGCUCAACUGAGGAACUGCCUUUGAAACUGGACGGCUUGAGGCCGGGAGGGGGUAGCGGAAUUCCCAGUGUAGCGGUGAAAUGCGUAGAUACUGGGAGGAACACCAGUGGCGAAGGCGGCUACCUGGACCGGUUCUGACGCUGAGGCGCGAAAGCGUGGGUAGCAAACAGG